GACGAACGCUGGCGGCGUGCUUAACACAUGCCAGUCGAACGAUGAAGAAGAGACACGCGUACUUCGGUUCAAAUUUCACUUCGGAUUAGUGGCAGACGGGUGAGUAACGCGUGAGCAACCUACCUCUUACAAAGGGAUAGCCUCGGGAAACCGUGAUUAAUACCAUAUUACACAUUCAUAAGGCAUCUUAAGAAUGUUAAAUCUACGGCGGUAAGAGAUGGGCUCGCGUCCCAUUAGCUAGUUGGUGAGGUAACGGCCCACCAAGGCGACGACGGGAAACCGGCAUGAGAGGGUGAACAGUCACAUUGGAACUGAGACACAGUCCAAAAUCCUACGGGAGGCGGGAGUGGGGAAUAGUGCAAAACGGAGGGAGCGAUGAUGCAGCGAGGACGCGUGAGCGAUGAAAGAAUUCGUUUCGAAAAGCUAUGGUCUAUGGGAAGAAAAGGACUGUACCAAAGGAGAAAGCCCCGGCUAAAUACGUG
rnacentral:rRNA from 1 species